rnacentral:rRNA from 1 species
UACGGAGGGUGCGAGCGUUGUCCGGAAUCAUUGGGCGUAAAGGGCGCGUAGGUGGCCCGGUCAGUUCGUGGUGAAAGCGCGGGGCUCAACCCUGCGUCGGCCAUGAAUACUGCCGCGGCUGGAGCACUGUAGAGGCAGGCGGAAUUCCGGGUGUAGCGGUGGAAUGCGUAGAGAUCCGGAAGAACACCGGUGGCGAAGGCGGCCUGCUGGGCAGUUGCUGACACUGAGGCGCGAAAGCCAGGGGAGCAAACAGG